rnacentral:lncRNA from 1 species
CCCAGGUUCAAAUGAUUUCUCCUGCCUCAGCCUCCCAGACCAUUUACAUUCAACGUUAAUAUUGAGAUGUGAGCAUUCUUUCUCCCUGGCACAGGCACACCGGAUUCUGGAACAUCCCUCAGACAAGCCUGUCCUGCUCUCCUUAGGGACUUUGUAUCUGUGCUCUGUCUUCCUGGAACGUCUGCUCGGCUGUUCUCUCACCGUCUCUGUUCUUCUCACCUUAGACUGCUCAGCACCAGGAACUGAUGUUCAAGGCUGCAGGCAUUUGUGAUGAUAAGAGGAAAGCCACGGAGGCUGGCCAGACCCUAGCACUGGAGACUUGUAUUGGCUUCUGAUAUGUUUUAAGCGUCCCUGUGGUCUAAGCCAUUGUUGGCUAUUUUACAGAUCUGUUUGUAUACACUACGUUUCCAAAUGUACGUACAUUUCUUACUAGACUCUCCACACUUAGAUUAUUUCUUUUUAAAAGUAUUCUAGUUUCUGAAUGUAGACAUCUUUUAAUUUCUUUAUAUGUACACAGAUAUGAAGCUUCAUGUACAUGAAUACAUUUUUAAAGACAUACUAAAUUCUUACAGUUGUUUUUAAUUGUAGUGAUGUUUUGUGCAGUCUUUUUAAAAUUUUUAUCUUUUUAAUUGGAUCAUUUCCUUCUCCAGUAACAGUCCCUGACUUGUGAUCUCAGAUCACCCAUAUUAACAAUCCAGCUUACAUUAUUAUGUAUAAUAUGUCUGUACCUAAUUACAUGAUUAUUUAGAAAACAUUAUUUGUGUAUAUAUCUAAUCUCAAUAUGUAUAUGUUUGGAGGUUUUGGGUCUUUUGAGGUGCAGAUUCAGUGCUUUUACCAAAAUGGUAUCAUAUUAGAAACACUUCUGCACUUCAGAUUUUUUUUUCGUUUCCAUUCAAUUAUAAUUUAUGAAAAUCCUUCCAAGUUGACUAGAAGAGAGGCAAUUCAUUCUUACCAGUAGCUAAUGAAUUUUAAUAUGGUGUUCCUAUGCUAUAAUUUAUUAAAUAAUUCUCUUAAUUGUGGGUCACUAAUUUUAUUUUCAGUUUAUUUGCCGCUAUAAACAAU